GCUCUUUCAUGAAGGGGUCAUCCCUAUGCCCACUAACAGGCAACUCCUGUCAUGCCAGCACAGCAGUAGAUGACAGCACAGCACUCAUCUACAACAGACAGCAAAUGUAGACUAGGGACUUUUUUUGUUUUUUUCUAAUUUUGGAGUGAAAGAUUUUUUCCCAGCUAAAAAGAAGGUAUUGGGGGUAGAGUUCCCAUGCAGCCAACACUACAUUAUGGAAGCUGUUGCCGAGUCUCCUCACAUGAAGGGCAGUCCCAAAAUAGAGAAUUCUACAAGGUAUUCCCCUGAAAUGGUGCUUUCCAAACAAUGAACCAUGAAUCCCUUGCAACUUCAGAGCUUGCAUCUAUUUUCUUAAAGGACAGUAAGAAUACAGUUCCUAUGGAGAGGGAGGGAGUUGAGGUCUUAGACUUAAUUUUUACAUUAAAAUAAGAGGUUUUUACUUGAAAAUGUUGUGAAGCAGUGCAAUUUUUUAAAAAAGAACAUAAUAAAUUUGAGGAUGGUG
rnacentral:lncRNA from 1 species